GCCGCUGCUAUCUCAUCGGACACUCAGAGGUCAGGAGAGAGCAGCUCCCCAGAUGAACUCCUGGAAGGAGGCAAGUGUGUCGACCCCUCAACCGUGAGCCCUACUGCAGCCUCAGAGUCGGGCUCCGGCAUGGCACUUCCCUGGGGCACCCUGGACUCCACCUGCGAGCAAGGCCCAGUGAGCGGCAGGAAGGCAGCAUACCAGAGCAGCUGGGUGUCCCUAGCCUCUGCACACAGGGCCCACCCAACUGCCCUCGAGGAACAGUAAGACUGGGCCGACACAGGAGUAGGCGUGUAGGGUGUCCGUGAGUCCACCUGAAGGCUCCCAGUGAGGACACUGGAGGACACGUCUGAUUUGUUGUCCUCAUGACAGGGCCUCCGAGAACUGGAGAGAAUUCUAGUGCCUUCUGGCCUAAAGCCUUCUGGCCCUAUCUGGACCCCAGGAGAAGUAUUACAAACACCCAGAAAUGUAACAGGGUGCCUUCAAAUCCACCUGGAGACGCUUCCUGAUCAGAGAAAAUGGCAGCCUGGCUGGCCAGCUGGAGUUGGAAUUCAGAUGAGGCACAUGGAGGCCCACAGUCCUCCACGGUACUGGAAUGACUCCCGCAGGGAAAAGCUCAGGGUACCAACCUUGGGAGCAGAAUGAAUUGACACAUGAUCUGCAGGCCUAUCACCUGACAAUGGGACCCUACAGAGAUCUCUGCUGGGAAGAAGCAGACUAAUUGUGAAUUGCACUCUGGACUCUGAAGAUCUGGGUUGGAAUUCUGCUGUCCCUUCCCCCAACCCACCUGAACUAAGUUACCACCCUCCCACUAGCCUCUCUCCCAAAUGCCUGUAUUUUCCCCAAUUUGUAAUGGGAUUGCUUGUGUGUUUAUUGUUGCUCGCCUCUAUAAAACCUUCCAAGCCCCAUUGGGACACAGGCCGUACUUGUACUGCUCAUCAUUAGGUCCCGAGGGCGGUAUCUGACCUGGCACAUGGAAGUAUUUAUUCACUGUCUGCUAAGUGGAUUGAUGUACCUGGUGAGCUAACGCCUUGACUUCCCUGGGUGUUCCUGGUGCUCUUGAAGCACUCAGCCCCGUGCACAGACACCAUGCCCGUCUAAUGGAUGGGAGCUACCAUUAGAGCCUCUGAAAAGACAAGGAACUUGGACUGGGUUUUCAGAAGUUAGAGCAGAAAGCAGAUGACCAUCUGUCUCCCUUGCCCCAUCAUUUUGAGAAUGGAGAGCUCCGCACAGAGAGGGGAAAUGAUUUACCCUGCCGAGCUUCCCAAGGAACCCGCCCUUCCUCCGCCCCCUCAGCAGUAGCCUCCAGACUUGGUACUCUGACGGUCUCAACUGCUAUUUUUCUUGUUCUCCGUGGGCCAUGUUUUGACAGACAAAGUACACCAUAUCAGUUCCCAGAUCUUACGAAUUCCUGAGGGGCCAGCUCAAAUGCUAUCUCCUCCAGAAAGCCUCCCCGGGCCCUUUAUAUUCGAGAACCCCAGCUCUCCUUCUGGCCCAAGUUAUUUCUGCCCUUGCAUUUGGGUGAUUAGAGCAUGUGCUGCCAAAACCCUUACCUUCUGGCUCAGGAACACAUCCACAGCAACCACUGCCUGCUUCCCAAACACCGAGGGCUAGGCUGUUGUGUUUAUGCGUUAACGAGUCAGCGAGCAAGAUGCACUGGUUCCCCAGGGGCGCACCACUCUUUAACGGGUCAGGGCCAUGAACUCUUGUACAAAAGACCCGAGCAUCACCCCAGCCAGGCUGAAUCAAAUGCAGCUUCGAGGCUGUGAUUCCAAGACAAAUCCAUACAAACUGAAUUUAGUGCCUGCACAGAGCGGAGGCCGCAGUCACGGGUUUCGACGGGUGGCUAAAUGGUCCUGACGAGCGGAAGCAGCAGUACUAGCCUCCGGGAAAGGCCACAUCUCCCUGGACCAACAGUGGCAGAGGAGGUGUCUUUUUAAACAAGCCAAAAGGGCUUUCUCAUCUAGAAGAAUAAAUAAAUGUUGUUCAAUGGCU